GGUUAAGUGAAGAAGGGCACACGGUGGAUGCCUUGGCACUAGAAGCCGACGAAGGACGGGACUAACGCCGAUAUGCUUUGGGGAGCUGUACGUAAGCUAUGAUCCAGAGAUUUCCGAAUGGGGCAACCCAGCAGCUUUCAUAGGCUGUUACUUUUACGUGAAUACAUAGCGUAUUAGAGGUAGACGCAGAGAACUGAAACAUCUAAGUACCUGCAGGAAGAGAAAGAAAAUUCGAUUUCCUUAGUAGCGGCGAGCGAAACGGAAAGAGCCCAAACCAACAAGCUUGCUUGUUGGGGUUGUAGGACUCAGCCAUGGUAGUGUUGAAUGAUAGUCGAAUCGACCUGGAAAGGUCAGCCGGAGUGGGUAAAAGCCCCGUAG
rnacentral:rRNA from 1 species